rnacentral:ncRNA from 1 species
AAGGCCUGAUGUGUGUGAGAUUACCCGCUGAAUUUAAGCAUAUAAGUAAGCGGAGGAAAAGAAACUAACUAGGAUUCCCUUAGUAAUGGCGAAUGAACAGGGAUCAGCUCAGUGCCAAAUCGGAAUCACUUGUGGUUCUGAAAUGUGGCUUGAAGGCAGUACCAGUGGCAUCGCGGACGAAAGUCUCUUGGAAAAGAGCGUCAUAGAGGGUGAGAAUCCCGUGAGUCGUUCGCCGUUUGUCACGUACGGUCUGCGUUCUAACGAGUCGCGUUCCUUGGGAUUGGAGCGUAAACGGGUGGUAAAUUUCAUCCAAAGCAAAAUAUAUACUCGAGACCGAUAGCACAAAAGUACCGUGAGGGAAAGGUGAAAAGAACUUUGAGAAGAGGGUUAAAUAGUGCCUGAAAUCGUUGAGAAGGAAGCGGAUGCCGCCGUUGCAUAUGCUGAUUGUAGGAUGCUGCUCGCUCCUGUCUCUGCUACUCAU